AGGUCUCACCCAGAGGCAGAACCAAAGGAUGAAGAUGAAGAGGGGGCACUGACAGGUCAUCCCAGAAACCCAACCCAUGUUGCACCAUUUUCUGGGGGACUCCCCAAUGUUUUGGGGGACACUCUGGGGAAAGAGCUCAUUGAGGAACCCUCCAUGACAGAACCCCUUCCAGCACCUCGCAU